GUCUGCUCUUUUUUAUAUAUGUAUAUUUAUAUUAUUCUAAAGAUAAGAUACACCAGAUUUAGAGUCUUUAAUCAAGAUUGUGAGAGAUGCUGUCACAUUUAUUCCAUCCUGCUUCUACCGGCAUCGUGUGUGUGAAGGUAUUGCUCAAUGAUGAACUUUUCCACAUUUAUUUCUGGUAAAACCAGAAACGUUAUUGUGUUUUGCACACAGUAUCACAUUAUUGUGAAGUGAAAACAAAAA